AUGCCGCACCCGCCAGCCUGUCCACUAUGCGAUCAGGAACCAGAGACGAUUGACCACUUACUACUUGGAUGCGUGUUUGCGAGAUGGGUUUGAUCGGCCAUCACAGGCAAUUGGGGGAAACCCCAAUGGACCCCAACCCACGGAGCGAAGCUAGUUCAAUGGUGGACUUCUUUGAACGUCGAGACGAGGAUGACGAAGGAAGCUUGGACGGUGAUCACGUUGGUGGCAUGGACAAUUUGGAAACACAGAAACGACAUCGUGUUCAACGGCGCUCUACCUUCCGUCGACGUGGUGUUCGAGGCGAUCGACGCAGAAGGGGAGAACUGGAGGGCUGCUUCACUGCUACGGCAGCCGGGAUCGCUCCCGGUUAGGGUAGAGAGGGUGGAGAGUAGCGAGUACUUAGCAUUAGGUGUGUGUUGGCCCAUGCGGCCGUGGACUCUUUGUAAUUGGUUGUUUCACCAUCUUGGCGCCUUCUAUCUAUGA
rnacentral:rRNA from 1 species